UCCUCCUCGUAAGAACAGCGAGGGUCACGUGCGCUCGGGUUUCCGUUUCCGAUGUGCCCGCGUAAAUAUUUCGAGUGGCGAAAGCGAGUAACGGAUACAUUACUGCAAUAAUAUGGUGGUGCUUACCUGUGACGUCGCUGCUGGACUGCAUGACCCAUCUUAACGACAUGGUGUCUGCCGUCACUGCUGUCACAAACAACUUCGGAGCCUCGGGAACAUCUGCAAAUUCCACAACGUAUGUGCCAAUUUGUUGUCGACUACCAUGAUUUCCCAUAUUUAUUGGCUGGGAAAGGAACUCUAGAUAUGUCCACCAGGUCUUGCUCCCAUUUUGGUGGAACUGAAGCGCAUCGGAAAAUCAGAAAUGAU